UGGGGAAUUUUGGACAAUGGGGGCAACCCUGAUCCAGCCAUGCCGCGUGAGUGAAGAAGGCCUUCGGGUUGUAAAGCUCUUUCGGCCGGGAAGAAAUCGCAUGGGUUAAUACCUUGUGCGGAUGACGGUACCAUCAGAAGAAGCACCGGCUAACUACGUGCCAGCGGCCGCGGUAAUACGUAUGGUGCGAGCGUUAAUCGGAAUUACUGGGCGUAAAGCGUGCGCAGGCGGUUAUGUAAGACAGAUGUGAAAUCCCCGGGCUCAACCUGGGAACUGCGUUUGUGACUGCAUAACUAGAGUACGGCAGAGGGAGGUGGAAUUCCGCGUGUAGCAGUGAAAUGCGUAGAUAUGCGGAGGAACACCGAUGGCGAAGGCAGCCUCCUGGGCCAGUACUGACGCUCAUGCACGAAAGCGUGGGGAGCAAACA
rnacentral:rRNA from 1 species